rnacentral:rRNA from 1 species
GACGAACGCUGGCGGCGUGCUUAACACAUGCAAGUCGAACGGAAAGGCCCUGCUUUUGUGGGGUGCUCGAGUGGCGAACGGGUUAGUAACACGAGAGUAACCUGCCCUUGACUUUGGGAUAACUUCAGGAAACUGGGGCUAAUACCGGAUAGGAGCUCCUGCUGCAUGGUGGGGGUUGGAAAGUUUCGGCGGUUGGGGAUGGACUCGCGGCUUAUCAGCUUGUUGGUGGGGUAGUGGCUUACCAAGGCUUUGACGGGUAGCCGGCCUGAGAGGGUGACCGGCCACAUUGGGACUGAGAUACGGCCCAGACUCCUACGGGAGGCAGCAGUGGGGAAUAUUGCACAAUGGGCGGAAGCCUGAUGCAGCAACGCCGCGUGCGGGAUGACGGCCUUCGGGUUGUAAACCGCUUUCGCCUGUGACGAAGCGUGAGUGACGGUAAUGGGUAAAGAAGCACCGGCUAACUACGUG